rnacentral:rRNA from 1 species
CAGUAGCCGCGGUAAUACGUAGGUGGCAAGCGUUGUCCGGAAUUAUUGGGCGUAAAGGGCGCGCAGGCGGUUUUUUAAGUCUGGUGUCUAAGUGCGGGGCUCAACCCCGUGACGCUCUGGAAACUGGGAGACUCGAGUGCAGAAGAGGAGAGCGGAAUUCCACGUGUAGCGGUGAAAUGCGUAGAGAUGUGGAGGAACACCAGUGGCGAAGGCGGCUCUCUGGACUGUAACUGACGCUGAGGCGCGAAAGCGUGGGGAGCAAACAGGAUUAGAUACCCGCGUAGUCCCUGUCUCUUAUACA